rnacentral:rRNA from 1 species
AGUGAACGCUGGCGGUAGGCCUAACACAUGCAAGUCGAACGGCAGCACAGUAAGAGCUUGCUCUUACGGGUGGCGAGUGGCGGACGGGUGAGGAAUACAUCGGAAUCUACUUUUUCGUGGGGGAUAACGUAGGGAAACUUACGCUAAUACCGCAUACGACCUACGGGUGAAAGCAGGGGAUCUUCGGACCUUGCGCGAUUGAAUGAGCCGAUGUCGGAUUAGCUAGUUGGCGGGGUAAAGGCCCACCAAGGCGACGAUCCGUAGCUGGUCUGAGAGGAUGAUCAGCCACACUGGAACUGGAACACGGUCCAGACUCCUACGGGAGGCAGCAGUGGGGAAUAUUGGACAAUGGGCGCAAGCCUGAUCCAGCCAGACCGCGUGGGUGAAGAAGGCCUUCGGGUUGUAAAGACCUUUUGUUGGGAAAGAAAAGCAGCAGGUUAAGACCCCGCUGUUCUGACGGUACCCAAAGAAUAAGCACCGGCUAACUUCGUG